rnacentral:rRNA from 1 species
CAACCCCACAUCAGGCGAGGCUAUCCACUCAGUUUGAGCAUAUCAAUAAGCGGAGG